rnacentral:rRNA from 1 species
AACGUAGGACACAAGCGUUAUCCGGAGUUAUUGGGCGUAAAGAGCUCGUAGGCGGUUAAGAAAGUCGGGUGUGAAACCUCCAGGCUCAACCUGGAGACGCCACUCGAUACUUCUUUGACUUGAGUUCGGUAGGGGUAAGCGGAAUUCCUGGUGUAGCGGUGAAAUGCGCAGAUAUCAGGAGGAACACCGACGGCGAAGGCAGCUUACUGGGCCGAUACUGACGCUGAGGAGCGAAAGCGUGGGGAGCGAACAGG